GGCCCCAUCGUCUAAUGGUCAGGACACGAGAUUCUCAAUCUCGCAAUAGGGGUUCGAUUCCCCUUGGGGCUGCCA
rnacentral:tRNA from 1 species